rnacentral:rRNA from 1 species
AGUGAACGCUGGCGGUAGGCCUAACACAUGCAAGUCGAACGGCAGCACAGUAAGCGCUUGCUCCUACGGGUGGCGAGUGGCGGAUGGGUGAGGCAUACAUCGGAAUCUACUUUUUCGUGGGGGAUAUCGUAGGGAAACUUACGCUAAUACCGCAUACGAUCUACGGGUGAAAGCAGGGGAUCUUCGGACCUUGCGCGAUUGAAUGAGCUGAUGUCGGAUUAGCUAGUUGGCGGGGUAAAGGCCCACCAAGGCGACGAUCCGUAGCUGGUCUGAGAGGAUGAUCAGCCACACUGGAACUGAGACACGGUCCAGACUCCUACGGGAGGCAGCAGUGGGGAAUAUUGGACAAUGGGCGCAAGCCUGAUCCAGCCAUGCCGCGUGAGUGAAGAAGGCCUUCGGGUUGUAAAGCCCUUUUGUUAGGAAAGAAAAACAGCAGAUGAAUACCCCGCUGUUCUGACGGUACCCAAAGAAUAAGCACCGGCUAACUUCGUG